AGGGGUCAAAAGGUCAUGCGUUUCAUGCUUGCUUGAUAAGGCUUUUGACCUUGUGAUCCGCCAAACAUGAGAACGUAGCGAUCUACGUAGUAACUCAGCGGAUUUCGAAUGUUUGUAAAAUUGUGGAAGCUGCUUCGCAGCGGAGCAAUUCGUAGUCAUC
rnacentral:sRNA from 1 species